UGGGGAAUAUUGCACAAUGGGCGCAAGCCUGAUGCAGCGACGCCGCGUGAGGGAUGACGGCCUUCGGGUUGUAAACCUCUUUCAGCUCCGACGAAGCGCAAGUGACGGUAGGAGCAGAAGAAGCACCGGCCAACUACGUGCCAGCAGCCGCGGUAAUACGUAGGGUGCAAGCGUUGUCCGGAAUUACUGGGCGUAAAGAGCUCGUAGGCGGUUUGUCGCGUCGUCUGUGAAAUUCUGCAGCUUAACUGCAGGCGUGCAGGCGAUACGGGCAGACUUGAGUACUACAGGGGAGACUGGAAUUCCUGGUGUAGCGGUGAAAUGCGCAGAUAUCAGGAGGAACACCGGUGGCGAAGGCGGGUCUCUGGAUAGUAACUGACGCUGAGGAGCGAAAGCGUGGGUAGCGAACAGG
rnacentral:rRNA from 1 species